AUCCUAGGUAAGCCCUUUAAACUACUUAUCUGAUUUAUGGGAGACAGAUAUUAACCAUGGAAGUUUCGCUAACAACAUCCUUAAUGUAUGGGUGUUUUCUAAUAGUAGCUUACCAUACAAGG
rnacentral:snoRNA from 1 species